AUUGAACGCUGGCGGCAUGCCUUACACAUGCAAGUCGAACGGCAGUACGGGAGCAAUCCUGGUGGCGAGUGGCGAACGGGUGAGUAAUAUAUCGGAACGUGCCCAGUCGUGGGGGAUAACGUAGCGAAAGCUACGCUAAUACCGCAUACGAUCUACGGAUGAAAGCGGGGGAUCGCAAGACCUCGCGCGAUUGGAGCGGCCGAUAUCAGAUUAGCUAGUUGGUGGGGUAAAAGCUCACCAAGGCGACGAUCUGUAGCUGGUCUGAGGGGACGACCAGCCACACUGGAACUGAGACACGGUCCAGACUCCUACGGGAGGCAGCAGUGGGGAAUUUUGGACAAUGGGGGCAACCCUGAUCCAGCCAUGCCGCGUGAGUGAAGAAGGCCUUCGGUUGUAAAGCUCUUUCGGUCCGGGAAGGAAAUACGCAUGGGUUAAGUACCCUCGUGCGGAGUGACGGUACCGGCACUAAGAAGCACCGGCUAACUACGUGCCAGCAGCC
rnacentral:rRNA from 1 species